rnacentral:sRNA from 1 species
AUCCGAACUGCUCUUGGCUGAGGGACGAUGAUGCGUCGGCUGCUCCAAUUGGCAGCGCCGG